UACAGAGGGCGCGAACGUUGUUCGGAAUCACUGGGCUUAAAGGGCGCGUAGGCGGCUUGCAUAGUCGGGAGUGAAAUCUUUCGGCUUAACCGGAAAAGUGCUUUCGAUACUAGCAAGCUCGAGGGAGGUAGGGGCAGAUGGAACUUCCGGUGGAGCGGUGAAAUGUGUUGAUAUCGGAAGGAACGCCGGUGGCGAAAGCGAUCUGCUGGACCUCUUCUGACGCUGAGGCGCGAAAGCUAGGGGAGCAAACGGG
rnacentral:rRNA from 1 species